rnacentral:rRNA from 1 species
AUGGCCGACGAGUGGUGGAGUGGUUCACAGAGGAGCCACGGGACGUCGGCGUGCUCCGCCGCGCCACUCAUGGACACGGGUCACGCAGCCACAUGCGGCUGGACGUCCCCGGCCGCGGAGUCGACGAGCUCAAUAACCUUCCAGGAUCCCCACAGGAGCAGCAGUACUAUCGCUCAUCAGCCUUCAUCCGAUGCCGCUUCCUCGAUUGGUGAUGCACACAUGGACUGGACGCACGCCUUCUUGAGCGGGAGAAGCGACGCUAGCUUCCAAGCCGUGCUUCAAGACGACAUGCCGGCGUCAAUGACGACGAGGCCCUUAUUUCGUGCUCAUCAGCCGGCCGUCGACGAGGCCGUGAUGAGCAAUCCGUUCAGGGACAUGAGCCACAGCUUCAGCUUGCUCGACCAGGUGCCUGCAGCGUCGUCUCCGUACGGCACGGCGCCACUGCAAGGCAUGUUCGACAACGCCGGGGCGUCGCGCAACGUUUCGGUGUUGGGGGAGUGCCAGUCAUCCACCAGCUACGACGGCACGGCGGCGAUGCAGUUAAAUCAAGCGGCGACGCAGAUGCUAGGCGGUGGCGCCCAACUGCAGUACUUGUCCGGGUCCGGCGGCUACUUGCCUUUCGGCGGCGCCCCUCUAUCGUCGCAGCUUCUCUUGCAAGCCCUACAGCCCAAGACCAGCUACAGCUCUAGCUCCAAUACCCUCAUGGCGAAGUUUCUCCUGCAGUUUGCCGAGCACGCGUGCUCACCGCCGGUGAGGAGAAGCGAGCCCGACUCGCCUGCCGCGGCGAAAAGGCCACGGAUCGAGGCGCCGUCGCCGUUGCCCACGUUUAAGGUGAGGAAAGAGAAGCUAGGGGACAGAAUCACUGCGCUCCAGCAAUUAGUCUCGCCUUUUGGAAAGACCGAUACCGCAUCGGUUCUUCACGAGGCCAACGAAUACAUCAAGUUCCUCCAUGACCAAGUUGCGUCUCUGACCUAUCCGUACUUGAAGAAUGUGAACCCGUUGCAGCAGUUCCAGCAGAAGGGUUCCGAGAAUGCGAAGGACGAUGGUGGCGAGCCGAAGAAGGACCUCCGAAGCCGAGGCCUGUGCCUUGUGCCGGUAGCAACGACGUACACGGUUGCGAGCGAGACGGUGCCGGAAUUCUGGUACCCAACAUUUGGAGGCACGUUUAGGUAG